GAUCAUGGCUCAGGAUGAACGCUGGCGGCGCGCCUAACACAUGCAAGUCGAACGGCACCCCUCUCCGGAGGGAAGCGAGUGGCGAACGGCUGAGUAACACGUGGAGAACCUGCCCCCUCCCCCGGGAUAGCCGCCCGAAAGGACGGGUAAUACCGGAUACCCCGGGGUGCCGCAUGGCACCCCGGCUAAAGCCCCGACGGGAGGGGAUGGCUCCGCGGCCCAUCAGGUAGACGGCGGGGUGACGGCCCACCGUGCCGACAACGGGGUAGCCGGGGUUGAG
rnacentral:rRNA from 1 species